rnacentral:rRNA from 1 species
UCGAACGGGAAGGUUUCUUUCGGGGAACUGGAGAGUGGCGCACGGGUGAGUAACACGUAACUGAUCUGCCCUUUAGACUGGGAUAACCUUUGGAAACAGAGGCUAAUACCGGAUGUUCUGACGGUAGUUAGAGAGCCGUGAGUAAAGGUUUAGGCGCUAAGGGAUGAGGUUGCGGACCAUCAGCUAGUUGGUGAGGUAAAGGCUUACCAAGGCGAUGACGGUUAGGGGACCUGAGAGGGUGGCCCCCCACACUGGGACUGAGACACGGCCCAGACUCCUACGGGAGGCAGCAGUAAGGGAUAUUGCACAAUGGACGGAAGUCUGAUGCAGCGACGCCGCGUGGGUGAAGAAGGUUUUCGGAUCGUAAAGCCCUUUUCUAUGUGACGAGAGAGGACGGUAGCAUAGGAAUAAGUGUCCGGCUAACUACGUGCCAGCAGCCGCGGGUAAAACGGUAAGACGCGAACGUUAUCCGGAGUUACUGGGGCGUAAAGCGCGCGUAGGCGGUUAUUUUAAGUUACCUAUGAAAGAAUACCAGCUAAACUUGUAUUGGUUAGGUAAAACUGGGAUAACUAGAGAGAAAUACAAGGGAAGGUAAAAUUCCGGG